rnacentral:rRNA from 1 species
UACGAAGGGGGCUAGCGUUGCUCGGAAUCACUGGGCGUAAAGGGUGCGUAGGCGGGUUUUUAAGUCAGAGGUGAAAUCCUGGAGCUCAACUCCAGAACUGCCUUUGAUACUGGCGACCUUGAGUCCGGGAGAGGUGAGUGGAACUGCGAGUGUAGAGGUGAAAUUCGUAGAUAUUGGAAAGAACACCGAUGGCGAAGGCACUUUACUGGGCUAUUACUAACACUCAGAGACGAAAGCUAGGGUAGCAAAUGGG